CCCCCCACGCCGUAUGCGGCUGAUGCGAGAAGGAACGUGCGAGCGUGUGAUACGAGAAGGAUGGUACGUGGCAACAUAGAAGCAUAAGAUAAGAGACCUCGCCUCCAAUGACAGCGGUGGAUAGUCGCAGGGAUUGCGCCACCAUAGGAACGGCGAAGAGAAGCGCUGCAUCAUGACGCUAUCGAGCACAGACUGCGAGCGCUUCGGCAGUCUCAGCGAAAAGGAGGUUUCAUCGCGGUGUAGCUUGGUGUAGGUGGUGUAGGUCUUCUGCCGAGGUGACGGCGCAAUUUCCGCACAAGGUUUGUCUUUCACGUCCGAUUAGCUCGUGACGCCUCGUCUUCUACGGAGUGCAGCUUCAACGUGCAACAGCAGUGCUUACAAGUCGCCAUACAGCUUCGCUUGCGAUGGCACCAACUAAGAAAACUGCUGCCCUAAGUGGCGCAGAAAGACAACAACGUCGUCAGACGAAUCUCGCUUUGGUCUGGCGAGAGAGACGCCAGCGUGAAGUAUAACGCCUCCACGUGUUCGCGGUGCACGCCGCGAACUCUGUCACUAGCAUUCCUAAAUAUGGGCGCGUCGCAACUCGGCUGGCUGCCAAGGACACUACGGAGACGGAUCCAAAAUAUGCUUGUAUAACCUUCACCGAAGCGACUCGGCAGUAGGACGUCGCACGUCAAUCAAGCCUGCAACACGGCCGCCAACCCGCAAAUUGUGCGUCUUUCGCUGGAGCAGACCGCGAGUUCACGAAGCAAACAUGCAACAGUUUCUGUGAUGAUGCGUUUCACGUUCGUGUUCUACCGGUUCCUAUGAAAUAGGGAUCAACUAUAUCUUUCUUUUUUUACUUGCAUUACGCGAGUUUCCAUUGGUUGCAACAACCACUGCUGUGGCCCAACAGCAACAGAAAGAUCAUGCACAUAUAUGUAUGCCAGCUGUACAUUCCAUCCAUUUCGUCCACUCCCUCUUAUCACGUGUAACCAGUGUGUGAUGUACUGCUGGGCCUUCGUGCAGACACCAUGCCGCCAAGCUGCCACCUUUGGUAACGUUUCACCUCUUGAUGUUUUCACUUGAAGGAUUAGACUGCAGUUCACACCUUAUAUGUAUGGCUUGAUAAUGAAAACGGAAAAAGAUGCAAUGAUUUUUAUCUGCAGAAAGGUAGAUAGGACAGCCUGGGCGUAUGCACUCUAACGUGCUACACUGAGCUGGGGAAGGGAAAGAAUGCUGCAGAAGAGCAGUGGAGGACAGUGAUAAUGAUCAGACCGCUGGAAUGCUGGUCAUUAAAACAGCAGCAUACUCAAGUUACGGUCUUGAGUCCAGUGCUGUGUUGUUCAGUCCGGUGACUAUUGUUACUGUAGCCCAUCUUGGGACCAAGGACCUAGAGUAAAGUCCUACUUUACACUGGAAAUUGACGAAUACAAAUUCUUGCAUUAUGUUCUUUCAAGUUCAGUACAUAGCCACAUCUAGAAUCGAGGGACAAAACCUCGUUGUUCACUGUGCUUUCUAAACACAUUUCAAGCACUUGCUAGCCUGAAAAUUCAGACUCUCAAACUCAUCUUAGCGGGAACGUACAAUACUCAUUUCACCAAAUUUCUUUACAGCACACCAGAAUAUGGCUUUAGUGCAACUAAGACUUUUUGUGUCACUGUCUUCCAAGGCCCAAUACUAAAGCGACAAUUACUACAGUUUUUGGAGUCCUUAUGCAUACAUGCCCAGCACUCUACAAGACAUAUAAACAACUUUUCGCAACAGUGCUCUUCAGCAACAGCUCCUGCUGCUACGUAUGUAACUACUACUCGUAGCUUACACUGUAUGAUUAAAGCAUGCAUAAAAUAAAAACUGUUUUGAUUACUA